rnacentral:rRNA from 1 species
CGAACGGGUGAGUAACGCGUGGGGAAGUCUGCCUUUGAGCGGGGGACAACAUUUGGAAACGAAUGCUAAUACCGCAUAAAAACUUUAAACACAAGUUUAAGUUUGAAAGAUGCAAUUGCAUCACUCAAAGAUGAUCCCGCGUUGUAUUAGCUAGUUGGUGAGGUAAAGGCUCACCAAGGCGAUGAUACAUAGCCGACCUGAGAGGGUGAUCGGCCACAUUGGGACUGAGACACGGCCCAAACUCCUACGGGAGGCAGCAUG